rnacentral:lncRNA from 1 species
AGAGCCUAUAUCACUUGCCGUCCUACUAGGUUUAUACAUUUUCAACAUGUUAAACAGACAACUAUUUAAAUUAUAUGCACGUCUUUCAACCGUUUAAACUUUUAGAUUAAUAAUAUGUUAUAUUCCAAUUUGGAGUACUAUGUAUAUAGGGGUGAGAUUGAUAUGCGCUAUUACUUAAUCUGGUUUGUUAAAGAUCAAAAAACCAAAGGGACCCAACACCAUCGUAAAAGCUUGAUGAUCAAUUGUGUCAUCAUCCUUGGGAAGAAAGAUAGAACAUGGCUUUAUUUGGUUGAAGAAAAUUGAGAUGCGGUGAUGAUAAGUGGGACCCAAAAAGCCUGGUUUACCCUGAUGUGUUGCUGACCAACAUCCAAAAAAGUGCUUCAUUGUUGGCCAACUUGGCCCAGUUCAUGUAUUGCAACCUUACAGCGAAAAAUAAAACAGAAGUGACCCUUUAAUUUAUUAAUUUCUUUUUGCUUUCUUUAAAACAGAAUUAAGCUCGUUAUUAUGCCAUUUAAUUCGAACAAUAUGGUAAAAAAAAAUACGUAAAUAAAAGAAAGAAUAGUUCAGUGUCUAAGACUUCUGUUAUUAUGGGAUUUAGGCUCCGUUUGGCAUCAGUUUUUUUUAUUUUUUUACUUAAAAUAAGCAAAAAAAUAAUUAUAGUUGCCUUUUUUGCUUUUCUGUUUUUAUUUUUUUGUUUAAUUUUAACUAAAAUAAAGUCAAAAAAAAAAUCUUGACCUUUUCGAUAACAAAUUUAAAAAAAGUUUAAUUUUUAAGCAUUAUCAAAUGGAACCUUAAUUAAAAGAGUUAGAUAUACGUAGUUAUAAGUAUAACAAUCAAAUAUGUCAUACACAAGUUAAAAGCUAGAGAGAAGCUGAUGUUCCUUUUGUUUUUUAUUUUAAAGGAAUUAAGUUCAUUAUUAUACUAUUUUAUUCUAAUGAUAUGAUAAAAUUUAGGAAAACAAAAGGAAGUGUAGUCUAGUAGACUUCUAUGAUUGUGAGAUCUCAAAGGUCAUACAUCUGCACUUACCAAUACUAUAACAAAAAACGUCAUGCAAUCUAGAAGAUAGUGCUGGGAAAAAAUACGGCAAAUACAGAAUUUUAAAAAAUAUUUUUUAUUGAUAUCAAAAAGAUAUACAUCAAAAUUGAAAUUACAAGUACUAAACAGAAAAGUAGGAAUAAAAUAUAAACAAAUUUAGAAAUUCAGUCUUUUUAAGAAAGAUUUGUCGCCUAUUGAGGGUGUUAUAAACUUCACUGGCGUUUUUCUCUUAGGAUAAAACAGAUAGACCGCGUACGUCGGAACACCACCGAGGUAAACAACGGACCCCUCAAUUUUUACUAAUCAAAACUUAAAGAUAGUAAAAAAAGAAGAAAAAAAGGUUUACAUCCAAACGAAGCCACAAUCAUAAUGUUAUUAUGUAAGCUUCCUUUACUUGGAGUUUUAUGUAAAUCAUUAGAGAUUGCUGAAAUCAAUAACUAAGUGGUUGUUGAGGAAACAGCUUGAUCCCAUUAGCAAAAUCAUAAUUCUGCUACUGUGGAUAAUAAUGGGUAACACGAAUAGGAACAAUAAUGAGAAGAUGAAUUCAGAUCAAGUAAGGUUCUUGUGAUUCGGUUUAAUACAUCUCAUUUAUUAGCAAGACCAACCCAACCCAACCUAACCCAACACUGUCCUUGUCCUUCCCUAUCUUUUUAAUACAAAAAACAAAAAACAAAAAAACAUGAGUUGAAUUAUUUGUUAUAAAGUUACCAAUCUCCUAUCAUUCCGAGUAAAAAAUAAGCACAACAACCCUAUAUACCAUUUCGCUGAGAAUACUAGCCUGUAUUAGGUACAUGGGUAUGUAUCGAAGGAAUUUUGGAAUUCAUCCAGUAAACAAAUCGCAACGAUAUUUGUUAUAAAGUUAUCAAUCUCGUAUCAUUCUGAGUAAAAAUAAAUAAACACACAACAACCCUAUAUACCAUUUUAUUGAGAAUACUGUACACGGGUAUGCAUCGACAGAAUUCCAAAAUUUAUCCAGUAUGCAAAUCACAUUGAUAUUUUUGUAAGUCUUAGAGUUUUAUUUUGGGUAAAUUCUGAAGUUCAAGGCGUUUUUGAAAGGAUUUUUCACUUGAAUCUUAUGGUAUAUUGUUCGAAUUGUGUGAAAUUUGUGACAUGUGAUUAUUUGUUAUAUUGUUUAUAGUUCUAUUAACUUUAAAAAAAAAUGUAUGAGAUGUUUAUAAAAUAGUGAUAAAUUCAAAACGGUACAUUGAUAAACCCCGAUACCAAUACAUAUCAGACUAGUAACCAAAAUCAUACGUCAAACUACGAAAAAAACUCACAAGUUAAAAUUUUUCAAUAGUUUUUGCUCAACUAAAUGAAAUAUAUAUUAUAAUACAUACAUACAAAAAAUGCAUAUGAUAUGACCAAGCAACCAAAACCUCCUGUUUCCUGUUUUUUGGCUUUCCAAUUCUCGUAAACAGCUAAAUCGUAUUUGACUUGAUCUACAGCCUCUCUAAUCUCUAUUGCC